GAUGAACGCUAGCGGCAGGCCUAACACAUGCAAGUCGAGGGGUAGAGGAAGCUUGCUUCCUUGAGACCGGCGCACGGGUGCGUAACGCGUAUGCAAUCUACCUUGUACAGAGGGAUAGCCCAGAGAAAUUUGGAUUAAUACCUCAUAGUAUUAUUGAAUGGCAUCAUUUAAUAAUUAAAGUUCCAACGGUACAAGAUGAGCAUGCGUCCUAUUAGCUAGUUGGUGUGGUAACGGCAUACCAAGGCUACGAUAGGUAGGGGUCCUGAGAGGGAGAUCCCCCACACUGGUACUGAGACACGGACCAGACUCCUACGGGAGGCAGCAGUGAGGAAUAUUGGACAAUGGGCGCAAGCCUGAUCCAGCCAUGCCGCGUGCAGGAAGACGCAUCUAUGGUGUGUAAACUGCUUUUGUACGGGAAGAAACACUCCCUCGUGAGGGAGCUUGACGGUACCGUAAGAAUAAGGAUCGGCUAACUCCGUG
rnacentral:rRNA from 1 species